rnacentral:miRNA from 1 species
UGAACUGUGAACUGCAGCAGU